UUUCCCUUGCAGCUCCGCCACCAUCUGCUGCGUGGACUGAGUCAGCGUGAGAGAUUUCCACUGUGUGAGCUGUAGGACACAUUUAUCAUGCAAUGUGACCUCUGCUUCUGCGCCUUCAUUGGCCUAUUCAAAGUGAAGACGAUGAGGAUGAGGACUUUAUGAUGAUCCACUUUCACUUAAUGAACAGGUUCUGAGAAUGAAGCGAGUUACCUCAAAGUGUCAAAAUCAGACUGAUUUGGUUGGAGGCCAACUUGGACUAGUCUAUAUGAAAAGUGAGCAUCUUAGGCCUUUCCAUGGUCAACCAUGGAUCAAUCAGCAUGCACUUCCUCCCUUCUGAGCCCAUAACCCCACCCCCCAUCCGGACUCAGCCAGACUCAUACAGAUGUUGGGACUACCAGCUGUAGGAAGGAGCUACCCAUUUUGGGACUCCUCGCCUGUUCAGGAUAAACUGCCUGUGGAAAGGAGCUACCCACUGUGGGUCUCUCUGCUGAGAGGGGGACACUCAUCUGGACAACUUGCCUGUGGAAAGGA
rnacentral:sRNA from 1 species